AAUAUUUGACAAUGGGGGGAACCCUGAUCCAGCCAUGCCGCGUGUGUGAAGAAGGUCUUCGGAUUNUAAAGCACUUUAAGUUGGGANGAAGGGCAUUAACCUAAUACGUUAGUGUUUUGACGUUACCGACAGAAUAAGCACCGGCUAACUUCGUGCCAGCAGCCGCGGUAAUACGAAGGGUGCAAGCGUUAAUCGGAAGUACUGGGCGUAAAGCGCGCGUAGGUGGUUCGUUAAGUUGGAUGUGAAAGCCACGGGCUCAACCUGGGAACUGCAUCCAAAACUGGCGAGCUAGAGUACGGUAGAGGGUGGUGGAAUUUCCUGUGUAGCGGUGAAAUGCGUAGAUAUAGGAAGGAACACCAGUGGCGAAGGCGACCACCUGGACUGAUACUGACACUGAGGUGCGAAAGCGUGGGGAGCAAACAGG
rnacentral:rRNA from 1 species